rnacentral:tRNA from 1 species
GCUGGUGUAGCUCAGUUGGUAGAGCAGCUGCCUUGUAAGCAGCAGGCCGGGGGUUCGAGUCCCUUGACCAGCUCCA